AAGAAAACAGAAAAUACGGCGCUUAAUUAAGCCCUCGAAGCAGCGUGGUUUAGCGCCCACGUGUCAAGUUAUGAGAGGUGAGAGAUCGGUUACGCGUGAAACGCGAUCAAACUCGGUUUUGUCUCUCUCUCUCUUUUGAAUCCGCUCUCCUGACGCAAGGCGAUUUGAAAUCGUCUCCGUGGCUUUGCUAUCGUCGGCUUCUCCCUCGGCUCGACGGUGGUUCUUCUCGAUGGUGAUGGUCCUCUCGCUCGGUGGCGACGGAGCUCUCCUCGACGGCGAAGUAACAUGCGUGGAUCGAGGAUACAUGGUCCAUUCUCUUUCGAUGUGUUCCUGAUGCCUAGAGAGAUCUCCCGAGGCUAUUGGAAGAAGUAGUUCCUGGCUAGCCCGAGACUAUCUGUUUAGUUCUGUGAUUUGUUUCUCUUCACGGUUACAUUUGUUCUUCUUUUCGUGAUAGUUAUUUCCUAUUGUUUUUUUCUUAUUGACAUUACGUUUUCUGUUGAUUGCUGGACAGGUGAUAAGCGGUGGAAGACGAGUGGAAGUUUCCAUAUAUGACCUCCUGGUUGGUGAUGUUAUUCCCCUCAACAUUGAAAUGUGAUUUAUUCAUUAUCUGUUCUCUUCUUUUUUUCUGUCCAUACUCCAUAUUAACUUAUGUCAAACCGAAAAACCCUUAAAUAAACCACUUGCAUUGGAGGACAA